CCCUUAGAUGUUCCGGGCCGCACGCGCGCUACACUGAUGCAUUCAACGAGCCUAUCCUUGACCGACAGGUCCGGGUAAUCUUUGAAUCUGCAUCGUGACGGGGAUAGAUUAUUGCAAUUAUUAAUCUUCAACGAGGAAUGCCUAGUAGGCGCAAGUCAUCAGCUUGCGUCGAUUACGUCCCUGCCCUUUGUACACACCGCCCGUCGCUCCUACCGAUUGAGUGGUCCGGUGAGGCUUUGGGAUCUGAGCGGAAAGAGCGUUUCGCUGUUUCUGCUCGGAAAACUCAGUCGAACCUUAUCAUUUAGAGGAAGGAGAAGUCGUAACA
rnacentral:rRNA from 1 species